AAACCGUGUACGUACAAGCAGUGGGAGCCUUGAUUUAUCAGGGUGACUGCGUACCUUUUG
rnacentral:rRNA from 1 species